UUAACAUAUCAAGUUACAUUCAUCAUUUUAUUGCUUAUGCAAACUAAAUGCUUUAUUUUAAAGAUUUAUUUUAUUUUGAUAAAUUUAAUGAUAGAGGUUGUAAAAUUGUUGAAGAUGAAAUGGUUUGACUUUUAUUGUGCAAUGAUUUGAUUUUUUAUCCAAUAUUUUAGUACUUUUCUGUAUUUUUAGCUCACCUGGCCCAAAGGGCCAAGUGAGCUUUUCCCAUCACUUGGCGUCCGUCGUCCGUCGUCCGUCG
rnacentral:lncRNA from 1 species